UGCUACUAUUUUUGGGACAAUGUUUGUUUUGUGACUAUGGCAUGUCAUGUUGCCUUCGAUUAUGAUUUUGAGAAAGGUUCGUCGGCUAUUGAAACAUCGGCUUUGUUCGGGAGCGAUCGACGGGUCUCGACUCGUCCGCAGCUCGCGUCAUACUUUAUGAGCGGCUCUUUCGGAUACAGUAUCUACGUGGGUUCUUGUGGUCCUCUUCGGUCCGCAUGCAACCUCGUAGUACACACCCGUAACAGUUCAUUGUGUGGUAGGAUCUUGCGGCAGCCAAGCGUUCCUGUUUUUGCUCCUCGUGCGGGAGCAAAGGCGGGGCGCGGGGAUAAUGCAGAUGCUGGCAUAUGGUGUUUUGUAAGUGUGGGAGUUCUAUGAUAUAUUAGUGAUUGCGUUGCGUGCGUGCGUAGUGGCAUUCCGUCCGGGAGUG
rnacentral:misc_RNA from 1 species